CAGCACCUCAAGUGGUCAGGAGGAUUAUUGGGCCUUAAAGCAUCCGUAGCCUGCUCUGUAAGUUUCCGGGUUAAAUCCAUUAGCUUAACUGAUGGGCCGCCGGAAAAACUGCAAAGCUAGGGAGUGGGAGAGGUAGACGGUACUCGGUAGGAAGGGGUAAAAUCCCUUUGAUCUAUUGAUGACCACCUGUGGCGAAGGCGGUCUACCAGAACACGUUCGACGGUGAGGGAUGAAAGCUGGGGGAGCAAACCGGAUUAGAUACCCGGGGUAGUCCCAGCUGUAAACGAUGCAGACUCGGUGAUGCCCUGGCUUGUGGCCAGUGCAGUGCCGCAGGGAAGCCGUUAAGUUUGCCGCCUGGGAAGUACGUACGCAAAGUAUG
rnacentral:rRNA from 1 species